CUAAGAUUUGGGAGGUCCCCGAACUGUCGUCUGCUAGGCCUGUUUUUGGCUGUUCGUCUGCUAUUUCUGCGGACAAAUUUUGGGGCACUCGCUAGGGGCGCUGACUGUCCGGAUCAGUCAUAACAUUUCCCUCCAAAACGUUGUUAACAACGAGAAAAGUAGUUGCUUGUCACAGUCUUCUUCUGGACUAAGCCACUAAAAGGUAACAAUUCUUAUUUAUGUUACGUUAUCAUGUAAUGUUUUCAUGUUAGUGGCUUUUAAGUGUGAUCAUGGUGUGAUAGUUAAUUGUUAAAAGUUUGUUUUAUUGUUGCAUAGGACUCCCACUUUGCUCUCAUGUGUGUGGAAUGUCAUUCAUAUUUCUCCUUUUUUUAGGUUACAGAAGAUGCCUAAUCGUUGUUUUGUGCCUAAUUGCAACUCGGGAUUCCCUGGGUCCACUACGACUGAAAAGGUGGCUUUUUUUUCAGCUUCAAGGGAUUCUAGCCUGCUUCAACGUUGGAAGCUGCGAGGGAAAAAAAUGUAGACAAAAAAGAAGAUUGGGACCUUCUCUAUGUCUUAUGGCAACAUAUUUUUGUUGUUGUUGGUGAAACAAAAGACUUUUUAAGUCAGUAGACACAGCCCGGAGAUUUUAACUUUCUCCAACACUUUCUCCAAGACACCGCUGUCGGCGGAGAAUGUUUACUCUACGUGUUGUAGAAUACAGCAAAUAUUACCAUUCAUGCCUCAAGUCAACACCACGAAAGAAGCCAUUCAAUUAAUAAAUUGAUUCUUUGGAUGAUGCUUCAAAAGUGGUGAAUGGGGCCUGGGUGUAAUUGUAAACGUUUCAGUCCUUUUAUUAAUCAGUGGAACACGUUCCGUAGAUGAUUUCUUUUCUCUGGGGCAAUAAGAUAUAAUCUGUUUGACUUUUCCCUUCUAUGCGAACGAAAGAAAAAGAGAAAUGUUUCAGCAAGACGUUAAUGUUCCACGCUGCAUUACAGAGAUACAGUUACGAACAUCUGGUCAUCUUUGACGAUUUAUGAGUCGUUUCAUCCUGUUAUUACCUUGACCAAUGGAACUUUGAAUUAUUGCACCCCGCGCUUCGCUUCGCAGAUGCGACGCAGAUUUAAGUUGGCGAAUAGUGAGGUUCGCCGAGUGCAAAGCAACUGACGCAAUAUAACGAGCACCCUUCAAAGUUUAGAUAAAAUAGUUGUAAGUUAAUCUAAAACAAUUGGAAAAUCUCAUAUUUCAUAUACCAUUUAAAAAAGGGAAAAACAUUGGCCACCCCUAACCUUAAGCUGCGCAAACUGUCUAAAAUGGUAAAUUAAUUUGUAUUAAUGUAUAUUAAUGUUUGAAAUACAAAGAGGAAUUGAUUCAAGUU